UCCUCGUUAGUAUAGUGUACAGUAUCUCCGCCUGUCACGCGGAAGACCGGGGUUCGAUUCCCUGACGAGGAG
rnacentral:tRNA from 1 species